UACAGAGGGGGCGAGCGUUGUUCGGAAUUACUGGGCGUAAAGGGCGCGUAGGCGGCCUGCUAAGUCGAACGUGAAAUCCCCGGGCUCAACCCGGGAACUGCGUCCGAUACUGGCAGGCUUGAAUCCGGGAGAGGGAUGUGGAAUUCCAGGUGUAGCGGUGAAAUGCGUAGAUAUCUGGAGGAACACCGGUGGCGAAGGCGGCAUCCUGGACCGGCAUUGACGCUGAGGCGCGAAAGCCAGGGGAGCAAACGGG
rnacentral:rRNA from 1 species